GACGGUAUGGCCGAGUGGUUAAGGUGGUUGACUGCUAAUCAAUUUCCCUCUGGGAGCGCGAGUUCGAAUCUCGUUGCCGUCA